rnacentral:lncRNA from 1 species
UUGUUUUAAAGAUAUUUUAAUCGAAAUUAUCAUUUAAAUACAAAAAAGAUAGUUUGCUCUUUCCAAAUCCUGACUUUAUAAUAAGUUUUUAACUUUAACUGUUGAUUACCAAUUCAAGGUGAAAGUUAAAUAUUUUGGGUUUUAAUUACAGUCUACUGAUGAAUAAAAUCGUUGUUUAUUUGUCCUUGAAUUUCAUGAUAUUUUAGCUUGGUAUGUUCAUCUCAAUUUGUUUUUUAUUUUUAUUCAAGAAUUAGUUGGGAACAGACAUGCAAUUGUACCAGUUUUUUUUUUAACUUAUUUUCAACUAGGUAUAUAUCUUGGGAUUAAAUUAAAUGUUUAGAAGGUAAAGUGUCAGGAAAUGUUUAAUGGGGAUUAUAGUCAGAAUAGAUUGAAACUGUAGUACUAGAUAUAUUAUUUGGGUUUAGUGAAUAUUUUAUUUAUUGAGAAAUAAUAUUUAAACCCUAAAUAGUUUGUCAACUAUCAUCUAUUUAUCAUAUGUGUAUUUGUUUCUGCUUGUUGCAUAAUAGGCGUGUUGUUAGCAAUUAUUUUGUUGACUUUUCUGAGAGUUGGUUUAGAUAUAUUCUGCUUUAAGAUAAGAUAUUAACUAUGAUAUACAUCCAACACGAAACAAGUUCUUAUUAUUUAAAAAAAAACGAGUCCAGUCUUGGACAAAACUGUAUCUAUCACUUUGAUUGCUAUAUUCUGUGAUAUCCCUGUAUUUUUCAUACUUUCACAGAUACUAUACACUAUAUAGCUUAUGCAUCAUUUCCAAAUGGGGUAUUUUGUGCUAGAACACAUCUGACAUGUUGAUAAAUUCUGAAUAUUUUAGCAGAAUCUUUAGACAUACACUUCAGGUAAUGUUACGAUCAGGGUUUUUGUAUAAAAAGUGUAAAAAAUUGAAAUUCGGUAGAAAUGUAGAUCCCUUUUUCAUUGUAAUUAUUUUGGCGUUCACUGGAUGAUUCUAUAGCUCCAUGGUCGAUAUUGAUGGUGCAUAUGAAGGUAAACAUUGUAAUUAUAUUGGUUUAGAUUCAUCAAAUGUUGAUUACAAAGUUACUUCAUUCCAUAGAUGAUGAUAAUUUUAUUCAAAACUGUUUUGGCGAAAUAUUUUCGAACUUUAUAAAAUUUUUAUAUGAAAGAAGGAUGAAAGUGUGUCAUUAUUUGAAAUACGGGUGUUGUUUUAGUUUUUCUUUGCAGUGUGUUUAUGAUGGAUAUGAAACUGUAUAUAAUGUAUAAAAUUUUAAGAACGUGUAAGAUGAUAGAAUGAGAGAGAGGGAGAGAGAGAGAGAGAUAUGAAAUAUUCCUUCUACUUGUAAAUAGGUUACAUGAGAAAACAUACAAGUGCAUUUAAGAUCUUUUAAAACCCUUCCAAUGACAAUUAAGACAAUCUGCCAAGUCAUUUUUUCAAAAGUCAUUUUUGUUUUGUUAUUGUUUUUUUCUCUCAGUAUGAAGUGUAUAUCAUAAUUGCAUUAACUUUUGAUAACAAAAAAUAGGGUAAGAAAUAUUUGAAAAGCUGAAAUGCCUGAUCACCUAUGCAUUUUCUUGUUUUGUUGUGUUUGUUUAAAAAAUGACGCAAUAAUAUGGAAAUAAGACCUAUGUGUAGUUGGGACCAUAUUUUAUUUUAGCUAUUUCAGCAUUUUAUUCAUAUUUCUACAAUGGACAAUCGACUAUUUUGAAUAUUUUGCUUUUAGGCAGUAUUAAAUCAGAUUUUAAACUUCAUCAAUCCUAUUUGAAAAUAUGCGAAAGUUAAGUUUCAACUUCAAGUAUUCCAUAAUGAUAGCAACAUAAUUGGCAUCGAUUUUUACUUUUGAUCAUGUCUUGAAGUAAUAUGCUUUUAUGAAUAUAAAUGAACAAUAUUUACAUAUGUGUCAAUGGAUGCAGGCUAAGCUUAUAGUAAACUAUUAUUUAUCAUGCACAACACUUUAUCAAUAUUAUCAUUUGCUUGUGUUUGCCGAUGGGAUAUUUUUAAAACAUUUUACAAAUUUUACCAAAGUGCUGGAGAAUUUCCUGUCGUUAUACAUAUAUUUGACAGUUCUAAAAGCCACUUGUCUUUAUACAUACAUUUGACAGUUCUAACAGCCACUUCAAAGAGUGCUAAUUUUGAAAAUAUUGUUUGUCAUUGUUAAUGCAUUUAAAGUUGUUAAAAGUGUGUGAAUAAAGGGUAUGAACUUUAG